rnacentral:rRNA from 1 species
GGUUAAGCGACUAAGCGUACACGGUGGAUGCCCUGGCAGUCAGAGGCGAUGAAGGGCGUGCUAAUCUGCGAUAAGCGCCGGUAAGGUGAUAUGAACCGUUAUAACCGGCGAUACCCGAAUGGGGAAACCCAGUGUGAUUCGUCACACUAUCAUUAACUGAAUCCAUAGGUUAAUGAGGCGAACCGGGGGAACUGAAACAUCUAAGUACCCCGAGGAAAAGAAAUCAACCGAGAUUCCCCCAGUAGCGGCGAGCGAACGGGGAGGAGCCCAGAGCCUGAAUCAGCAUGUGUGUUAGUGGAAGCGUCUGGAAAGGCGCGCGAUACAGGGUGACAGCCCCGUACACAAAAGCGCAUGUGCUGUGAGCUCGAUGAGUAGGGCGGGACACGUGGUAUCCUGUCUGAAUAUGGGGGGACCAUCCUCCAAGGCUAAAUACUCCUGACUGACCGAUAGUGAACCAGUACCGUGAGGGAAAGGCGAAAAGAACCCCGGCGAGGGGAGUGAAAAAGAACCUGAAACCGUGUACGUACAAGCAGUGGGAGCACAGGUUUACCUGUGUGACUGCGUACCUUUUGUAUAAUGGGUCAGCGACUUAUAUUCUGUAGCAAGGUUAACCGUAUAGGGGAGCCGUAGGGAAACCGAGUCUUAACCGGGCGUUAAGUUGCAGGGUAUAGACCCGAAACCCGGUGAUCUAGCCAUGGGCAGGUUGAAGGUUGGGUAACACUAACUGGAGGACCGAACCGACUAAUGUUGAAAAAUUAGCGGAUGACCUGUGGCUGGGGGUGAAAGGCCAAUCAAACCGGGAGAUAGCUGGUUCUCCCCGAAAGCUAUUUAGGUAGCGCCUCGUGAAUUCAUCUCCGGGGGUAGAGCACUGUUUCGGCUAGGGGGCCAUCCCGGCUUACCAACCCGAUGCAAACUGCGAAUACCGGAGAAUGUUAUCACGGGAGACACACGGCGGGUGCUAACGUCCGUCGUGAAGAGGGAAACAACCCAGACCGCCAGCUAAGGUCCCAAAGUCAUGGUUAAGUGGGAAACGAUGUGGGAAGGCCCAGACAGCCAGGAUGUUGGCUUAGAAGCAGCCAUCAUUUAAAGAAAGCGUAAUAGCUCACUGGUCGAGUCGGCCUGCGCGGAAGAUGUAACGGGGCUAAACCAUGCACCGAAGCUGCGGCAGCGAACGUAUCACUUAAAGCGAUUCAGCGGGUUACGAUUGACGGAGCGAAGCGACGUCAAAGCGUAUACAAAGUCGAGUCGGUUUAAGGAUACGUUCGUUGGGUAGGGGAGCGUUCUGUAAGCCUGUGAAGGUGGCCUGUGAGGGUUGCUGGAGGUAUCAGAAGUGCGAAUGCUGACAUAAGUAACGAUAAAGCGGGUGAAAAGCCCGCUCGCCGGAAGACCAAGGGUUCCUGUCCAACGUUAAUCGGGGCAGGGUGAGUCGACCCCUAAGGCGAGGCCGAAAGGCGUAGUCGAUGGGAAACGGGUUAAUAUUCCCGUACUUGGUGUUACUGCGAAGGGGGGACGGAGAAGGCUAUGUUGGCCGGGCGACGGUUGUCCCGGUUUAAGCGUGUAGGUGUGUGUUCCAGGUAAAUCCGGUUCACUUUAACACUGAGGCGUGACGACGAGGCACUACGGUGCUGAAGCAACAAAUGCCCUGCUUCCAGGAAAAGCCUCUAAGCAUCAGGUAACAUCAAAUCGUACCCCAAACCGACACAGGUGGUCAGGUAGAGAAUACCAAGGCGCUUGAGAGAACUCGGGUGAAGGAACUAGGCAAAAUGGUGCCGUAACUUCGGGAGAAGGCACGCUGACACGUAGGUGAAGUGAUUUACUCAUGGAGCUGAAGUCAGUCGAAGAUACCAGCUGGCUGCAACUGUUUAUUAAAAACACAGCACUGUGCAAACACGAAAGUGGACGUAUACGGUGUGACGCCUGCCCGGUGCCGGAAGGUUAAUUGAUGGGGUCAGCGCAAGCGAAGCUCCUGAUCGAAGCCCCGGUAAACGGCGGCCGUAACUAUAACGGUCCUAAGGUAGCGAAAUUCCUUGUCGGGUAAGUUCCGACCUGCACGAAUGGCGUAAUGAUGGCCAGGCUGUCUCCACCCGAGACUCAGUGAAAUUGAACUCGCUGUGAAGAUGCAGUGUACCCGCGGCAAGACGGAAAGACCCCGUGAACCUUUACUAUAGCUUGACACUGAACAUUGAGCCUUGAUGUGUAGGAUAGGUGGGAGGCUUUGAAGUGUGGACGCCAGUCUGCAUGGAGCCGACCUUGAAAUACCACCCUUUAAUGUUUGAUGUUCUAACGUGGACCCGUGAUCCGGGUUGCGGACAGUGUCUGGUGGGUAGUUUGACUGGGGCGGUCUCCUCCUAAAGAGUAACGGAGGAGCACGAAGGUUGGCUAAUCCUGGUCGGACAUCAGGAGGUUAGUGCAAUGGCAUAAGCCAGCUUGACUGCGAGCGUGACGGCGCGAGCAGGUGCGAAAGCAGGUCAUAGUGAUCCGGUGGUUCUGAAUGGAAGGGCCAUCGCUCAACGGAUAAAAGGUACUCCGGGGAUAACAGGCUGAUACCGCCCAAGAGUUCAUAUCGACGGCGGUGUUUGGCACCUCGAUGUCGGCUCAUCACAUCCUGGGGCUGAAGUAGGUCCCAAGGGUAUGGCUGUUCGCCAUUUAAAGUGGUACGCGAGCUGGGUUUAGAACGUCGUGAGACAGUUCGGUCCCUAUCUGCCGUGGGCGCUGGAGAACUGAGGGGGGCUGCUCCUAGUACGAGAGGACCGGAGUGGACGCAUCACUGGUGUUCGGGUUGUCAUGCCAAUGGCACUGCCCGGUAGCUAAAUGCGGAAGAGAUAAGUGCUGAAAGCAUCUAAGCACGAAACUUGCCCCGAGAUGAGUUCUCCCUGAGACUUAAAGUCUCCUGAAGGAACGUUGAAGACGACGACGUUGAUAGGCCGGGUGUGUAAGCGCAGCGAUGCGUUGAGCUAACCGGUACUAAUGAACCGUGAGGCUUAACCUU